CUCUCUGUAGCUCAGUUGGUUAGAGCGGUGCACCGGAAACGCAGGGCCGCAGGUUUGAUUCCUGCCAGAGGGA